CUUGGCGACCAUAGUGUUGUGGACCCACCUGACUCUAUGCCGAACUCAGAAGUGAAACGUAAUAGCGCCGAUGGUAGUGUGGGGCUUCCCCAUGUGAGAGUAGGACAUCGCCAGGC
rnacentral:rRNA from 12 species